CACACUACUCAAGGUACUUCUGCUUCCAAAUUGCAAGCAUAUGUAAAGCCCCCUUCAGGUGAUAGUCUGGCAGCUGGAACUAAAAAACAAGUGCGAGCACCAAAAGAAAGUAAAGCCUCAAGUAAGCAGGAAAGUCAGAGCACAGUUGGGACAUCAAAUGGACGAAACAUACAAAGAGGAAGUCAAGGAAACUCUAUGACAACAACUACACCUCAACCCCAAGCAAGUCAAAAAAACUCUAGAAAGAAAAAAUCUGACAAAGUUGUUUCGCUUGCUGAGGCUGCAAAAGGGUCCAUUGUAUAUCAACAGGGGAAGCCAUGCUCAUGCCAAGCCCGUCGACACAGGCUGAUUAGCAAUUGUUUAUCUUGUGGAAAAAUAGUCUGUGAACAGGAAGGUGAAGGGCCUUGUAACUUUUGUGGUGCACUUGUGCUAAGGGAAGGAAGCUCGUAUGCUGGAUUAAAUGAAGGCCCGGUUCCAAUUUCCGAUGCUGAGGCAGAAGCUGAAGCCUAUGCAAAGAGGCUAGUUGACUAUGAUCGGAACUCUGCAGCACGUACGACUGUUAUCGAUGACCAAAGUGACUACUAUGAGUUUGAGGGAAAUAGCUGGUUGUCGAAGGAGGUACAGUGCACGUUUGUGAGAACAUUUCACUUUGCAAGACUUGGCUUCUAUGAUAACACUGACUUUGCAUUUACUGACAUAUUUUCUUUCUGAAUCUUCUAUAGAAUAUCAUAGGUCAGGAAGCUGGAAGAAGUGUGACGAAUGAAUAUUUGAGACGGAGAGGUCAUUCAGAUAUAUACCACACUACUCAAGGUACUUCUGCUUCCAAAUUGCAAGCAUAUGUAAAGCCCCCUUCAGGUGAUAGUCUGGCAGCUGGAACUAAAAAACAAGUGCGAGCACCAAAAGAAAGUAAAGCCUCAAGUAAGCAGGAAAGUCAGAGCACAGUUGGGACAUCAAAUGGACGAAACAUACAAAGAGGAAGUCAAGGAAACUCUAUGACAACAACUACACCUCAACCCCAAGCAAGUCAAAAAAACUCUAGAAAGAAAAAAUCUGACAAAGUUGUUUCGCUUGCUGAGGCUGCAAAAGGGUCCAUUGUAUAUCAACAGGGGAAGCCAUGCUCAUGCCAAGCCCGUCGACACAGGCUGA
rnacentral:lncRNA from 1 species